rnacentral:lncRNA from 1 species
GUGAGUGUAGUAGAGUUAAAAUGGUUAUUCCAGCAAACUUCAAAUUAUUAGAAUAGUACACAACGCAGAACAGAACAAUCAGGUUGAGGGUCAGUGGCCAAAAGCCCGCGAACAGGAAUGUUCCAAGUUCAGACAGAAGGGGGGAGUCAGAUCGCCAGGAACUUUACUUUUGGUUUCUAAUUUUAAUUGUUGCGCUACUGGUGAUGCCUGUUGAUGUUAGGUAGGCAGCUACAGUAGCUGAAUGAUGUUAACAUCUUCAGGUUUUGUUUCAUUAAAUGUAUUUUAUUUUAUCUGGGUGCUUACGUCACCUACUGACACCCUGGUACUACCCAUAGAUCCCGCUCUCCUCAGUCUGAGAAAACACUGAGAGAGAAAGAACAACUUGUCAGGUGGUGCAUUGGAGACUGAUGUGUUCCUGUCCUGUCUUUUCAUAAUACUAUUGCAGAUCGACAUAAAAGCCUAAAAGACAGCCGUGGUGUUGCUCUUCAUUUCUUGGUUCUCCUGUGGUGCAUAAGAAACCCGCUACAUAUGUAAGUGAACCAUAAAACCACAUUUCCACAGUGGAUAUGCCUGUAGGUAAAAGUGACGCAGCAUUACGUCAUACUUCCAGUGUCAGUCCUCUAUAAUAUUUUGAAUGGGCUUGGCAGUGAUGUAAUCAAAUUUGUGAAAACGUGGUCUAUGCAUCACACCAAUAGGGUUAACCCACCAAUUUUAACGCCACUCAAAUAAUGUAGCGAGGAUCGCGACACUGGUCGGAAUUGUAAUGUACCUCAUAGAGCGAGUAUCGCUACAAUUGUCACGGAUUGCCCGGUACUGCUGCUCAUUCGUUUCACCAGCUCCAGAGGUCUACGUCACCGGCUUUCUAGGCAUCACUGAACUGGAUCAUUACCACCAACCCGAGACUGUCUUGUCUCAUUAUGCACCCCUGGUUCCCAUUCCCCCUGAUUACUAUGUGCAUGUAAGUGCCCUCUGUUCCCCAUUGUCCUGGUUGAUUAUUGUUCCACGUCCGUUGGUCUUGUGAGUACCUGUGCUCUGUUGUAUCGGCUUGCGUGUUACCAUGUUAGUGUGCACUUGUUAUUAUGGGUCUCAUCCCGUGUAUUGUUAUUACGGGUCUCGUCCCGUGUAUUGUUAUUA